rnacentral:rRNA from 1 species
UUAGUCAAUGCUCGCAAGAGUGAACUAGCUAACUGAAAUCAUAUGACUCAUUAAUAUGGUGAUUAUGAUAACAUAAGGGAAAAAUUUGAUAUUACCUUAUUAUUAGUGUUGUCCAAAACUGGUGCCAGAAGACUCGGUAAGACCAGAGACGCAAACGUUAGUCAUCUUAAUCAGGCGUAAAGGGUUUGUAGGCUGCUUUAAAUUUUUAAAUCUUUGUAAUAGCUCUUUUACCGUAAUGCUAUAUUUAUUUAUUUGAUUUGAUUUGAUAAUAAAUAAUAUAAUAUAUAAAAUUUAUUAUAUAAAAUAAUAAAUGAUAUUAAAUAAAUAUCCGUGUAUCAGUAAAGAAAUAAAUGAAUUAAAGCUAGGAUCAAAUUUAGGAUAAACCAAAUAAUACUUAGAGUAGGGCUUAUAUCCGUAGAUACUAAGGGGAAUACUAAAGGUGAAAACUUUUUAUCUACUAUUGAUUGACGCUGAGAAACGAAGGUGAGAAUAGGAAAUAGGAUUAGAUACCCAGAUACCUCUCACUGUCAACGAUGAAUGGUGGUUUGUUAGUUUUAAUAAAAACUGGUAACGAUGUUAACACGAUAACCAUUCCGCCUUGCGAGUACGGUUGCAAAACUGAAACCAAAAAAAUUAGUCGGUCUCGAAGCAAACGAAGUGAAGCAUG